GAGCGGUAGCACAGAGAGCUUGCUCUCGGGUGACGAGCGGCGGACGGGUGAGUAAUGUCUGGGAAACUGCCUGAUGGAGGGGGAUAACUACUGGAAACGGUAGCUAAUACCGCAUAAUGUCGCAAGACCAAAGUGGGGGACCUUCGGGCCUCAUGCCAUCAGAUGUGCCCAGAUGGAAUUAGCUAGUAGGUGGGAUAACGGCUCACCUAGGCGACGAUCCCUAGCUGGUCUGAGAGGAUGACCAGCCACACUGGAACUGAGACACGGUCCAGACUCCUACGGGAGGCAGCAGUGGGGAAUAUUGCACAAUGGGCGCAAGCCUGAUGCAGCCAUGCCGCGUGUGUGAAGAAGGCCUUCGGGUUGUAAAGCACUUUCAGCGGGGAGGAAGGCGAUAAGGUUAAUAACCUUGUCGAUUGACGUUACCCGCAGAAGAAGCACCGGCUAACUCCGUG
rnacentral:rRNA from 1 species